UACGUAGGUGGCAAGCGUUGUCCGGAUUUACUGGGCGUAAAGCGCGCGUAGGCGGAUCGCUAAGUCAGGGGUGAAAUCCUGGAGCUCAACUCCAGAACUGCCCUUGAUACUGGCGGUCUCGAGUCCGGGAGAGGUGAGUGGAACUGCGAGUGUAGAGGUGAAAUUCGUAGAUAUUCGCAAGAACACCAGUGGCGAAGGCGGCUCACUGGCCCGGUACUGACGCUGAGGUGCGAAAGCGUGGGGAGCAAACAGG
rnacentral:rRNA from 1 species